AACGCAGCGAAGGGCGAUAAGUAAUGUGAAUUGCAGAAUUUAGUGAAUCAUCGAAUCUUUGAACGCACAUUGCGCCCCUUGGCUAUCCAGGCAGUAUGCUUGUUUCAGUGUCUUGUUUUCUCCUCACCCAAAUCUUAAUGUGAGAGAUACCCUUCUCUUACUAAGUACGAAAGCACUCUGAGCCCUGCAGGUGUCUUAGCUUCGGCUAAGGUCACACUCAAUGCAGCAGUCACAUUUCACAAUGUGAACUCAUUGAGAGCGGAGUCAGCGCAGCUUGUCUGCAAGUGUUUAGACCCACAAACUCUUCUUGUAUCUGAAAUCAAGCAGGAUCACCCGCUGAACUUAA
rnacentral:rRNA from 1 species